GUAAACCCUAAUGUUGUCUUUACUUAAACAAUCAAGUAAUGUUGACUAAACAUUACUUAAAAUUUUGCAUUUUGGCCCUGUCACUCAAAAAUAUGAGUUAAUUUAACUUAUUUUCCUUCAAAAUGCAUAAACUUAAGAUUUCAAGUCUUGUGAACUCAAAAUCAUGAUUAAUCCUUUGGAAAAACUCAACAUCACUCUGUUCUUCCUUUAAUGUGAUUGGCCAUGCAAGGAAUUCUGCCUAGCAACAAGAGAACAAAAGCACUGAUUGGUGGAUUACAAAAUUGGUCCUGUUGGCCUCGUCUGUUCGGUUGCUGAUACCACAUUGAUUUCAAGACGGAAGUUUUUCUUCGUGUACUAUGUUCGGUGACAUGAGAUAAGGAGAUGUGGAAAUGUUUGCAUGGAGUUCACCAGAAUUACAGACAAAAAUCUACAGCAGGAAUUCUAUGAAAACCUGGACAUACACAGUUCACGGUUCAUGGAUCUUUUUAAAACCAGAAGGGGGACUCCUGGUCAGCACUUUAAGUUUUUACAGAAAAUAGAGUCAGACCAGCCAACUGAGGUCUGAACCCUUGUUCUUCAAGGACUGACUAUCAUGCUGGGAAAUGAAGACCUCUUCUUUCUUC